rnacentral:rRNA from 1 species
GAUGAACGCUGGCGGCGUGCUUAACACAUGCAAGUCGAACGGUGAAGCAGGAGCUUGCUCUUGUGGAUCAGUGGCGAACGGGUGAGUAACACGUGAGCAACCUGCCCCUGACUCUGGGAUAAGCGCUGGAAACGGCGUCUAAUACUGGAUAUGUGAUGUGACCGCAUGGUCUGCAUCUGGAAAGAAUUUCGGUUGGGGAUGGGCUCGCGGACUAUCAGCUUGUUGGUGAGGUAAUGGCUCACCAAGGCGUCGACGGGUAGCCGGCCUGAGAGGGUGACCGGCCACACUGGGACUGAGACACGGCCCAGACUCCGACGGGAGGCAGCAGUGGGGAAUAUUGCACAAUGGGCGGAAGCCUGAUGCAGCAACGCCGCGUGAGGGAUGACGGCCUUCGGGUUGUAAACCUCUUUUAGCAGGGAAGAAGCGAAAGUGACGGUACCUGCAGAAAAAGCACCGGCUAACCACGUGCCAGCAGCCGCGGUAA